rnacentral:snoRNA from 1 species
GGAUUUGAUGAUAGAUCUUUGACACCCAGUCUUACAUGCAUCUCUUGAUGCAUGAUGGUGAUAAGAGAUCGACUAUCUGAUCC